GGCCCUUAUAUCCAGGGCUACACACGUGGUUACAAUGGUCGGUACAAAGAGCAGCCACUUGGUGACAAGGCGCUAAUCUCAAAAGCCGAUCUCAGUUCGGAUCGAAGUCUGCAACUCGACUUCGUGAAGUUGGAUUCGCUAGUAAUCGCGCAUCAGCCAUGGCGCGGUGAAUACGUUCCCGGGCCUU
rnacentral:rRNA from 1 species